rnacentral:lncRNA from 1 species
CUCGCGUCAAUAAGCCUGGCAUGAAAAUGGAACUGCUCCCCCUUAUGGUCAUUCCACACCCGGAGUAGUCCAGGGACAGACCUAGGGCGACCAGGAAACUUCCACUUCAUAAUUAUAUUAAGGGCAUACUGGGUAACUGGGUUGCCCCUAUCCAGAAAACAGAGCAACUCCUUGUCCUCGGAGCCCCUGUGCAUCUCUUGGGCCAGCUCCUCCCAACUGAGCAGGUUGGUCGACCGGAUCUAGUGACAUCGUGGAUGGAAACGGAGGUCGAAUACGGCUCAGUCAAAGGCACAGAUGAAGGGAGAGCGUACGGAACAGUCUCCGAAGAGGAAGGAGAACCCCUAGUGAGAAUUAGGCUUGAUGAGGCGCGCUCUAGCGUCUUCAAGCAGCGAAGGUGCGAAGCGAAUGGCGUAACUCUACCAAGAAGGAUGUGGCACAGCGAGGCACGCACAAAGACAAGGCUCGCGCCACAGGGUGCUAUCGAAGUAGCCCCAUUUAUUGCAUGGAUAGGAAACCCUAAGAGAGCUCACCUUCUUUGUAUGUAUCCUACCCUGGAAUCGAAGAACUAACUCACUUUGCUAGUUGCUCGGUGCUAUCCCCCUUCCCUUGUUGAGUGCUCAGCUACAGUAAAAGUACAAGAAGCGGCUCCUUCGGGCAAGCCCUUGGGUACGUCUGAAACGGUAGAUUUGUUUACGGCUCCUCGUGAGAGACAGGAUCUCUUGGUUCGUCGACGUCUGAACAAGGGGGUCCCUCUGUGAAAUAUUCCCUUGUCUCUUUAGUUCUUUUUUCGGCGAAUCCUUCAUCUGACGCCUCAUUUGGUCUAGAAAAGAAAGUCCCCUCAGGACCGGGGUAGUUCCUCUUUCUCUUUGGCUCGCAUACCUAUCUAUGCUCAGCACUAACUUGACUUUAUGAUCAGAAACUUUAUAGCUAAUGGGACGGGGCAUGAUUAUGUUUUUUCUAAAAAAUCUCUCAACCUCCCUUCUUAGCUUUCAAUGGUAUUCUAGAAUUCCUUCGUUCUGGUGCAAUUCACUCAGUCUAGUCUCGCUAUAUCUGUGCUUUUCGCUAGGAUCUUCCCGUAUGUACAGUAGCCCCGACCCUAUCUGAUCUUAGUCUCGAGUAGAGUCUGACGCUUCAGAAUCGGAUUUUUUAGGUCGCUUGGUACCGAUCACACGAGACCAGACCUUGAGCCAGGGAUAGUCAGCGCUGAAGACCUUUCUGCACGGGGCAGCGACCAUAACUGAAACUAGACAUGAAGGUAGGCUUAAGGGAAGGGGUACCUUAACGAUACUCACUUGCAAAACUAGAAUAAUCCACCAUGGUAUGAUAAAGGAACAAGUAUGAGUUGCCUGCCAGCACGCAUUACGCUUACCUUUUUUUUUUUUUUAUCGGACUGCAGAGCGAAGAGAGAACAGAUCACUUAUUACAUCGAAAAAAAUCAUGAUAAGCCUGCGAAGCCAGCCACAGAGCAGAGGGGACUUCCGCCUAGAAUUGAUUCUCCACUAUUCAGGGAACUUCACUUACAAUACAUAUACAGGCGAACACGUUUCCACCAAUUAUUUGAUCUACUUAUUUGAUCUACACGUCUAGCGGAGUAGUAGCUCUGGACAGGUUCUUCGACUGGAUCAACAGCCACAAGUAGCUUACUCAAGGCUCAAGUGAGUCGAACCUACAAGACAAUUCUUCUCGACCGGGAGACUCACCCUAAAUCUCUUUCUCGACCUAAGGCAAAGGGUAGGGUAUAAGGGUAUGGGAGAACCCGCUCAAGAGAGUAAUUGAACGGAAGGUCUAACUCUAUCGCUUUACUUUCUCUUCAACGGUUCUUGAGUCGAACCUUGACUCUUCUUCUGAGAUAGCCCUUUCCCUUCUGGUCAGAGCGACUUUUCGCGCUUUAGAAAUAGCUUUCUGAGAGGUAUAGUAUAGGUUCUUUCGGGCUAUCACGCUUGACUUUAAGCCCCUUGCGGAUAGGGUUUUGAAAGAGAAGUAGAGCAGGUUCAAGGGAAGAAAGACCCUUCUUCAAGCUCACCCUGUCCGCACGCAAGUCUAUUCCUUUAUUGGAAUAUUGGUCGGUGUAAAAAAAGAAAAGUAUCAAAAGCUUUAUCUUUCUCAAGAAGAGGAGUCAGUCAAAUAACUAAGAUGUGGGAGCCCUUCCUCGCCCUGUUCAAGGAUAUCAAAGCUGCAGUUUGAAAGAUUUAAGCCUACAAGGCUCCUUAACCAUCAGGUCUUAAAACCAUAUUCUAUCAGACCUAUUGGGACAUCAUUGGUAAAUCUUUUUGUGACCAAAUAAGAAUAGCUUUGCUAGCACCUUCUGUCCACCACAUAUGAACCAAACCUUCAUCACUCCGAUCCCUAAAGUGGACCAUCCUGAACUGAUCAAUCAGUUUAGAUCGUGUAAGCCUUUGCAAUACCACGUAGAAGAUUUUUACAACAAUUAUUGUAUCGAGACUCAGACCUUACCUGGACAGCCUCAUUAGUACUAACCAAAGCUGCUUAGGCAGGAUAGGGAACACAAAGGCCUGGGCAAUUCCCUUAUGGUAGGAUGGAACUCUUAGGCAUGGAGUUAUCCGAGUUAUUCAAGUUCUUCCUGCAGCUACAGCUAAGCAUAUGAGCUUGGCUUUGAGUUCUUGCAGUUAUGAGCUAAGGUAGCUACCUGAAAGGCGUUUUCAAAACAAUAUCUAUUUUCGGGUAGGAGGGAAGACAGCCAGAUAGACAUUCCGCCCCUAGCUCGACUUUCUCCUUUUGACGACCAACGAGACUCCUUUGUAAGGAAGGAAUUUUGUAAAAACUCAGACUUUGAAUGGAUCGCGUGGACUAGAACUCAGAAACUUUUUGAAUAGAGCAUCCUACUGUGCGGUCUGAUCCAUGGCAGGAAACCCAAUAGCUUUCAGAGGUUCAUUCUAGAUUCCGAAUAUCAAUCCUACAGGAAAUGCUCUACCUAACGGUCGACUGUGGUAGAACCCUUUUUGAAACCCAACGUAGAGAAGAUAGAAAGAGAUGGAAUCAAAGUCCAAUCCGGAUUCCCGCCCUGACGGAGAAGGAAGGGAAGGUAGCAGCAAGCCUUACGUUAAGCAAGAAGGAAGAAGAAGUCUCAUAUGUGCGAUUACCAAUUCCAUAUUUAAAAUAGGUUUGCUUAGUCCCCCUUCCUGGUAGUCUAGCUCAGUCUGUCCCUUGUCUGUCCAUUGCUUUAGUUUGUCGUCUGUAUCUUUCUUUGUCUUUAGUAAGAAAGCCUGUUCAAGCCAUCUGAUAAUGUACUAGAGGUACAUUCAAUGCGAAUCUAAGCUUUCUUUCGCCCUGGAAUGAUGCAUUAUUCAAAGACAGAGCCUAUCGAUCGAAAGAGAUAAAGAGAUAGAGGGGCCGAAGGCGAAGGAUCAAAAUAAAAAAAUGGGAUCUUCGGUAAAGGGUCGGUCCUUUCUUAUAGCCUUUGGUUAAGGCUAGCUGGCUAGUGCAGUCUUAGUCUUUGCUUUUUAUUAUUAUUAUUCCCAUGGAAUUGAUAAGUUCAAUCUCGUCUCAACAUAGCAUAGCCCCCAGCCCUUUCCUUACGCUGAUUCCAAAUCAUGGAACCUACGGUCAUAGAUCAUAGACUAACCGUAGAAGCAUUUUGUGUGGGGCGGGCCGCUGCUCUUGUUGUUAGAAAUUCCAGGCCCUUACUUCUUCCUCAAUAAGUCUAGAGCCAUGCACGAAGAAAGCUAGGCGCCAACAAACUAUUAAGCACACGUACAAGGCGCCCUGCCCAGAGCAUUCAAGAUCAAAGUUCGCAGCUCUCCAUUCAAUCCCUAGCUUUGCGAAGCGAAGCGAUCUUGUUCCAAUAAUGAAGAAGGUUUCGAUCUGACACAUCGAUCUUUCUAAUUUCCCAGGACUACGUUCCACUUUCUAUUGGUAACGAUCAAUUGACAAAUGUAGCUUUCUGUCAAUUCCGGCCCAAUCGAUUGAUUAAUAUAACGACCUACGAGGAAGUUUUUUUUUUUUUUCGUGCUGGGCACAUUUCUCCCCCGCCCCCCUAUGAAUAAAAAAGUGCUCAACCUCUCCUCUCGUCAAAAGUCUUCAGUCAUGGGCUUUUAUGUGUAUGCCAGGUCAGGACGAAGGGGAAUUGACUAACCUCUAGUUUGAUCGCUGAUCGAAUGUGAAGUACGAAGCGAUCAAGUUGAAGUAGUGCCAGCAAUAAGCAAACCCCUCGACCAGCCACUAUGUAUCCAUGGCCACUAGGGAUGAGGAAGGGGCUACGGCAGUUCGUUAUUCAUACUCGUCAUUUAUAUGGUUAAAGAUAGGAAUAAAUUGGCUUGCUUGGAAAUAGAGAAGCAAAACAACAGCCAUUUUUUCUCUUGCCCGAAAAUGGUGACCCAACACUAGUUUUCCCGGGAAAGGGUUUAGAUCUAGAUCUAAAUACAUAGCCCUAUUUGAUCUAGUAAGGGGGGCUGUUUUACUGGUAAAGGUAGGUUGGUACGUAGACGCAUUGAAAUGCAGGUCUUGCAGAGCCUGUUGAUCCAUCAAUAGCAGAGCGGAGGACUUGCAUUCUCCUAUGGUUGAGCAGUUUACCCAGAAGAGACGAAGACAAGGGCGAUGAUCUGUUGAUCCGGCACUAGUGGUAGAGGUCGCAGAGCCUUCCACUUCACUUACCUAAUGGGUAAGGCUGAAAGUGAAUCUAUCGAUUCACCGGCACGAAUAGCAUUUCCUCCUAUCCCAGCAUACCUACCGGCAAGAGCAGAUCCUUUUCCAUAUGCGGGUUCGAAGGAGCUCAACAAACGUGACCAGGCUGCUUAUGAGAGAAUUUUGAAAACAAAAAAAAGACCCUGGAGGAGGAGGUCUACUUUAUUCAGUUCUAGUUAGUUUGUUUUGCUUUAAGAAAAAAUUGAGUUAUUGAAUCAAAACUUUCCUACUUUUUGCCCACUACCUCUGUUUUAGAGAACUCUGCCUGGGCUUCCCUGCAUCCGCUCGACUCAUACCUCCCAGCCCUGUCUCCAGGAUCUCAUUCAAUAGAUCCAACCCAUUUCUAGGGUAGGGUAGAUAGAGGCUCUGCAAGACCCGCUUCUCCGCUUCAUUCUUUUCAUCUUCCCUUUUCUUAUAAUACACUAGAUAGCGCCUUUGUUCGAUAGUUCGAUAGUCGUAACUAUUGGCCUCUGAGUCCAUCUUAGGUUAGGUCUAACUCAAUAAAUUGUGUAAGUGAAGGCGGAUCGAGCAACUCAUUUUUAUUAUCUUGUCUCCACUCCUUUUGGCCGGCAGGAGAGAAUGUCAUCAAUAAGCCAGCAGAUAUCUGAGAUCCUGUCCUCAACUCAUGAAUGGACUCUUUCUGUCCGACCUUAUGUUAGCUUAGCUGCCCCCUCCGCUUUGAAGUGUGCUCUCGGCGAAUAUGGUAUCUCAGGCUGAAGCCGAUCAGACGAUUUUGCCUUAUCGUCUUGGACCUUCGAGAAUUUGAUAUUGUCAAAGAUGGAACUCGCUUUUUUACACCAAUAUAGACUCUUCUUUCCGGGGCUCCCUCUGGGUCCGGGCUUGCCUCGCCUCUUUGAAAAAUGGGGCCUUUCAGACAACGACUUUAGAAAAGGGUGAACGGGUCAUUCGUCGCGGGCCUUUCCUGUUCCUGUUGACAGUUGGCAGUCGGAUGAGUUGAUUGGCAAGCCAGCUAACGGGGCCACGAAGGGCCCAACGGAUUGAGGGCUCGAAAUUUUAUGCUUAACACACGCGAGUCGAUCAGUUCGCCCUUAAGAAGGAGGCUUAAGUUAUCGGUUCGAAUCCGAAUAAGGGCUUUUUUUCCGGUAUGCCGCUUCAAAGCAAGAAGCGAAUGAAUGUUAAGUCAAAAAAGAAAUUCAUGCAUGAUAAGGCCCCAAAACCAACUCAUAGUUGUAAACGCCCUUACCUCAUUAUGUAAUGAAAUUUCAAACCAGCAUAAUAGUUUGGGGAACCUCCCGCGGGGCCAAACGAUAUCCUUUAUACCACAGCGGUUAAUAUAACAAGGGGAGCCAUAACCGAUACGGUGGAGCACCUUUUCCAACGUCAUAAUAUCCCCCUUAGCCUAAUUGGACCUACGGGCAACUGGUCACUGACAUCCUUGGGAAUGAUCUAACUCUGCAAAAUGUUUCUUCUGUUUUGCAGAACAUCACUCAGCUUGGUCUUGCUAGUGAUGAAUUCCACCAACUACGGCAGCGGGACCGCUACACGUAGAGGGGUACCGGACCGAUCCCCGACUUGCGCAUUAUGCCUCUUCGGCCGACUCAGUGCCCGCACACUCGUUUCGUGGGUUGACUUAGGCAUACGGAGUUCAUCCCCAUCUAAGCAUACGGAGUUCAUUCCCAGUCUAAGAUCAGACCAGACCGAAGGUUGCGACAGCAGCACUCAGUGGGGACCAGGUCGAUCCUCGGCUUGCGCAUUCUACCUGUCCGAUAUGCUGGGUGCCCGCAUGCCCGUUUCGUGGGUUGGCUUAGGCAUAGGGAGUUCAUUCCAUGUCUAAGCCCCAGCCGGACCAAGGGUUGUGGCAGCGGGACAGGCAGCACGUAGAGGGGGACCGGGCCGAUCCCUGACUUGCCCAUUCUGCCUCUUCGGUCGGCUGAGUGCCCGCACGCUCGUUUCAUGGGUUGGCUUAGGCAUACGGAGUUCAUCCCCAGUCUAAGCAUAUGGAGUUCAUUCCUAGUCUAGGAUCAGACCAGAUCGAGGGUUGCGGUAACAGGAUCGGCAGCACGCAAGGGGGAUCGGGCCGAUCCCUGACUUACGCAUUCUGCCUCUCCGGCCGGCUGAGCGCCCGCACGCCCGUUUCGUGGGUUGGCUUAGGCAUAGGGAGUUCAUUCCAUGUCUAAGCCCUAGUCGGAUCGAGGGUUAUGGCAGCUGGACCAGCAGCACGCAGAGAGGGACCGGGCUGAUCCCUAGCUUGCGCAUUAUGCCUCUUCGGUCGGCUCAUUGCCCGCACGCUCGUUUCGUGGGUUGACUUAUGCAUAUGGAGUUCUUUCCCAAUCUAAGAUCGGAUCGGACCGAGGUUUGUGGCAGCAAGAUCGAUAGCACGCAGGGGGGACUGGGUCAAUCCCCGGCUUACGGAUUUUACCUCUCUGGUCGGCUGAGCGCCUGCACGCUCGUUUUGUGGUUGGCUUAGGCAUAGGGAGUUCAUUCCAUGUCUAAGCAUACGGAGUUCAUUCCCAGUCUAAGAUUUUGAGCCACGAUGCACAUGCUGGGCACGGGCGUGUGCUGGUGCCGUAUUUUUUUAGCCUGGGGCACCAUCGCCAGAGCAUCGCUGAAGCAUCGUCGGAGAGCCUAACCGUCGGCAUUGGGGAGGCCGGGGGGUGUGCGCACAUGAUGUGCGAUGGGUGCUGGUACUUGGCCCUUAUAUUGGCCCCCUAUCCCUCAUCAAACCUCGAGAACUCACACCCCCUUAAAGAGCAUAUGAGAUUUUAUAGGUUUGCUUCCAGUAGCCAUUAAAGUGUUUGAAAUGGGGACACUUUUUUCAAACGGUCACAAAAUUUUCUCCACUUCUAGUUUUUAGCUGAAUUUUUUUUUGGAUGCCAACAAAAAUACAAGGAUCACCUCUACCAAAUUUUGGGACAAAACCCUUUCUAAAAAAAUUUUAAGAAAUCC